CUCACCCAACGGUGAGAUUUCUUUGUUGCAAUGUUGGAGUCUGAGAUAACACUGUUGGAAGCUGCAGCCAGACUCGUAGCCGAUGCCAUCUUUUAUUGUGUAUUGUUUACCAGCAUUCUAAACUAAGGAGGCAAAGGAACAAAGACACGCAGGACUCCCGGGGCCCUGGAUGGAGGCUGGCAGCUACAGACAGCACCAGCACGUCUGAGGGACAACCAGGAGGUGCCUCUGGCUGUGGAGCUCAGGAUAUGAAUCAGAGAGAAAGAAAUGAAGACUUGUCCCAGGAAGAAAGGGGAGGACUGGCAGGGAAUUUUUUACUGGUUUGCCUUUGGAAAAGAAUGAGAAGAGCUGGUAAACUCAGCUUCCUCGCUUCUGCGCCUUAG
rnacentral:lncRNA from 1 species